UGACCUCAAAUCAGGUAGGACUACCCGCUGAACUUAAGCAUAUCAAA
rnacentral:rRNA from 2 species